GACGAACGCUGGCGGCGUGCUUAACACAUGCAAGUCGAACGGAAAGGCCCUGCUUUUGUGGGGUGCUCGAGUGGCGAACGGGUGAGUAACACGUGAGUAACCUGCCCUUGACUUUAGGAUAACUUCAGGAAACUGGGGCUAAUACCGGAUAGGAGCUCCUGCUGCAUGGUGGGGGUUGGAAAGUUUCGGCGGUUGGGGAUGGACUCGCGGCUUAUCAGCUUGUUGGUGGGGUAGUGGCUUACCAAGGCUUUGACGGGUAGCCGGCCUGAGAGGGUGACCGGCCACAUUGGGACUGAGAUAAGGCCCAGACUCCUACGGGAGGCAGCAGUGGGGAAUAUUGCACAAUGGGCGGAAGCCUGAUGCAGCAACGCCGCGUGCGGGAUGACGGCCUUCGGGUUGUAAACCGCUUUCGCCUGUGACGAAGCGUGAGUGACGGUAAUGGGUAAAGAAGCACCGGCUAACUACGUG
rnacentral:rRNA from 1 species